rnacentral:rRNA from 1 species
GACGAACGCUGGCGGCGUGCUUAACACAUGCAAGUCGAACGGAAAGGCCCUGCUUUUGUGGGGUGCUCGAGUGGCGAACGGGUGAGUAACACGUGAGUAACCUGCCCUUGACUUUGGGAUAACUUCAGGAAACUGGGGCUAAUACCGGAUAGGAGCUCCUGCUGCAUGGUGGGGGUUGGAAAGUUUCGGCGGUUGGGGAUGGUCUCGCGGCUUAUCAGCUUGUUGGUGGGGUAGUGGCUUACCAAGGCUUUGACGGGUAGCCGGCCUGAGAGGGUGACCGGGCACAUUGGGACUGAGAGACGGCCCAGACUCCUACGGGAGGCAGCAGUGGGGAAUAUGGCACAAUGGGCGGAAGCCUGAUGCAGCAACGCCGCGUGCGGGAUGACGGCCUUCGGGUUGUAAACCGCUUUCGCCUGUGACGAAGCGUGAGUGACGGUAAUGGGUAAAGAAGCACCGGCUAACUACGUG